AUCUGAAUCAUUGCCGACCAUGCA
rnacentral:miRNA from 1 species